rnacentral:rRNA from 1 species
ACAUCAUAGAAUCGCUAGAGAUAGCUUAGUGCCUUCGGGAACUCUGAGACAGGUGCUGCAUGGCUGUCGUCAGCUCGUGUUGUGAAAUGUUGGGUUAAGUCNCGCAACGAGCGCAACCCUUAUCCUUUGUUGCCAGCGAUUCGGUCGGGAACUCAAAGGAGACUGCCGGUGAUAAACCGGAGGAAGGUGNGGAUGACGUCAANUCAUCAUGGCCCUUACGACUAGG